UUUCCUUAGAAAUACACUGUCGAGC
rnacentral:siRNA from 1 species